rnacentral:tRNA from 1 species
GAAGCUGGGGUUCAAUGGCAGAGGAUCUGCUUGGGAUGCAGAAGGUCCCGGGGUUCAAUCCCCAGCAGCUCCA